rnacentral:rRNA from 1 species
CAGCCGCCACGGUAAUACGUAGGGUGCAAGCGUUAAUCGGAAUUACUGGGCGUAAAGCGUGCGCAGGCGGUUAUAUAAGACAGAUGUGAAAUCCCCGGGCUCAACCUGGGAACUGCAUUUGUGACUGUAUAGCUAGAGUACGGCAGAGGGGGAUGGAAUUCCGCGUGUAGCAGUGAAAUGCGUAGAUAUGCGGAGGAACACCGAUGGCGAAGGCAAUCCCCUGGGCCUGUACUGACGCUCAUGCACGAAAGCGUGGGGAGCAAACAGGAUUAGAGACCCCCGUAGUCCCUGUCUCUUAUAA